GGUCCCCAACAAGAAACACUGUCAAAAUGCUUGUCCUAUGGAUUACAUUAUUUUGUCUUCACAAAGGAUACUCUCUGGUUCCAGUUGAAACUGUUCAGCUUGGUGAACCAGCAACCUUGACAUGCGCUAUUCCCAAAGAGCUCAGCGUUAGAGGAGUCAAAUGGUACAAGCAGAGUGUCGGGGAUACUCUUAAAUUAAUAGUUACUCUGAUUCAGUCUAAAGCUGAUUUUAGUCCUGGAUUUUCGAGCUCAAGAUUUCGGAUAAAUAAUGAUGCAAAUUUUAGCAGCCUGACCAUUUUAGAGACAGUUCAAGAGGAUGAGGCUCACUAUCAUUGUACAAACACAGAAUGGAUUGGAACUACAUGGGGUGGGAUGUAUUUGUUAGUAAAAGGAAAAGCUCAGAGGACAUCAAACUUUGCAGUCAGUCAGUUACUGAUAGAAUCAAAUCCAGUCCGACCAGGAGACACAAUGACGCUCCAGUGUUCAGUCUUCUCUGACUCUGACAACAAGACGUGUCCAGGAGGUCUCAAUAUUCUCUGGGUCAGAGAGGGAUCAGAU